GCCCGAUUAGCUAGUUGGUGAGGUAACGGCUCACCAAGGCUUUGAUCGGUAGCCGGUCUGAGAGGAUGGCCGGCCACACUGGAACUGAGACACGGUCCAGACUCCUACGGGAGGCAGCAGUGGGGAAUAUUGCGCAAUGGGCGAAAGCCUGACGCAGCGACGCCGCGUGGGGGAUGAAGCUUCUCGGAGUGUAAACCCCUUUCGACCCGGACGAAUGACCCGCAAGGGUUUGACGGUACGGGUAUAAGAAGCCCCGGCUAACUACGUGCCAGCAGCCGCGGUAAUACGUAGGGGGCCAGCGUUGCUCGGAAUUACUGGGCGUAAAGGGUUCGUAGGUGGUGCGGCAAGUUGGAAGUGAAAUCUCUGGGCUUAACCCAGAGGCUGCUUUCAAAACUGCCGCGCUCGAGUGCGAGAGAGGUCAGUGGAAUUGCAGGUGUAGCGGUGAAAUGCGUAGAUAUCUGCAGGAACACCCGUGGCGAAGGCGGCUGACUGGAUCGCAACUGACACUGAGGAACGAAAGCUAGGGGAGCA
rnacentral:rRNA from 1 species